GGUUGACAUUAAAAACACACUUUUCUGCAGAGCCUGAGCUCCAUCAAACUCAGACAGGCUGCAGAAACAAACGUGUGACUUUAUAACCUCCAAACCAAAACACGUCCAGAAUCAUCCCUCCAUCUUUAAAGCUUCAGUACGCAACAUUCACUCUGUUUUAGGAUCUGGAGCUCGCUCUGUUUCCUGUAUGUGAGAGAGUUUAUCCAAUCAAAGUGUUUCUUUGAGUGUUUCAGGUUCAUUUUAGACUCUGUGUGUGUGUGCGUGUGCGUGUGUGUGUGUGUGUGUGUGUGUGUCUGAUGGACGUCAGCUGGUCUAUUAAAGGAAGUUUCCGUCCUCUCUGCAGAUAUGAGAGUAAACACUGAUUAAUGUCUCUCUUCUGUUGUGUAACAGAGAGACUGAAAUAACAGCAGAGGUUUCAGGUUCAGAGUCUCUGACUUUAGAGAGUUUGAGGCUAAAGUUAAUGACAGAUCAUCGUAGAAAAGCAGAAAUAUAGAGUCUCAUUGAAAUCUUGUCGUCUUUACUGAUUGAAGAGGACUCUCAUUGGUCAGAGCUCUUUGGAUCACCUUUUUCAGGGCAUUAGGUGAAGUCAGUGAGUUUGAAGUAUUUUGAAAGAAGAAUUGAAUCUGUAUGCUAUCACACAUGUAUUUUAUCAUUAUAUACGUGUGUUAAUCAUCAUUUACUGAAAAUCACUCGGCGUGAUGAAGCAUGGCCUUGGAGAUGAGACACCUAGAUGAGCGCUGUAAUUCCACUCACAGGUUGUUUUCCCAACAGUGUGACACUGAACUGAUAAUCAGGAACCUGAUGAUGAACUGACCUGUCUUUGUUCUCCCAGAACAGACCACAGCUAGAACCUGGACCCUGUUUGGAAACUGUUGUAAUGUCAUGUCACUUGUGAGGUGAUGUUAGCGGGCGGGGGUGUCUGUUUCUUGACGGCAUGAAGGAUGUGUAAAAAUCUGGAUUCCUGCCUCUGUUGUAAGUAAAAGAUAUCGAAGAAAAAGAAGACCACUCUCUCUGUCGUUCUUCUCCGGCUGCAAGUCAGAUGCAGAAUUAAUUUUUCAGACAUAUUUCAAUAAAAAACAGACGAUCUUCAGCUUCUACACACCCAACCAGAACUUUCACUGCACUGGUCCAGCUUUCCUGUUUUUAGCACUUUGACUCCACCUGCUUUAAUAAAAAGUUUGUGUUUGGAUCCUCAGUUAGAGCAGGUCUGAUCUCAGACAGCUCCAAGCCCAGGUUUAGACUCAGGUUUAGGUUCCUCAGGUUUAGGUUCAGGUUUAGGUUCAGGUGACUUCAUUUAUACCUGAAGGUAGAUGUCUGUCAUCUAUUUAAAGUUACUAAGCUGCCCCGCAGACCCCCCGAGAAAUUUUCUGAGAGAAAGGAGCUCGUAUUUUGUGUCCUCCUCUGCUGCAGUGAGGCCCUUCUGCGCCCCCUGGUGGUGACACAGUAAAAGACUCCGACCUGUCCACCUCCUCCUCUCUGGUUAGUUUCUCUCCUCCUCCUCCUCCUCCCUGGGUUAGUUCCUCCUCCUCCUCCUCCUCUCCAGGUUAGUUUCUCUCCUGCUCAGUGGGCGGACGGCGUUUUAAUGUGAGUCAGAGUGACGCUGAUAAACUAACCUUUCAGUCCUCCCACAUGAAAAAUAUGACAAACAUGUCUGAGCUCCACGGGGGGGAAAAUCUGUCCCUCUAACUUCCCUCUCAGAGUCUCACUGACCUGAUCACCUCUGUGCUGAGUUCAGGCUCUGCAGGACAAACUCUCAAACUCUCUCUGCCUGAUUUAUUAUGAAAAAUCAGACGUUUUUUAAUCUUGUUUUCCAGAUUUUAUCUUUAUGUUUUAGUAUCUGGAUGAUAAAUCCUCACAGUCAGUUAAUAAGAUGUAAAUGUUGAGUUUUAUCUCACCUUCUGAAACUUUAUUUAAUUUUCAAACUCCAACAUUUGUGUCUCAAAAGUUCACAAAGUCUCUAUUGAUCCGCUUUUCUGAACAAUAUUCUUAAAAUAUAAUUUUUUGUGUCAAAAGAUCACUCAAAAUAAGUCUGAAAGUAACAGUAAUUACAGGUUUAUAAGCGUUAUAAUAAAAAAUAUGUAAAAAAAAAAAUGUUAUUAUUAUUAUUAUUGUUAUUAUUAUAUUAUUAUUAUUAUCAUCAUCAUCAUCAUCAUCAUCAUCAUCAUCAUUAUUAUUUGUAUAAUCAUUAUUAUUGUUAUUAUAUUAUUUCUAUUAAUAAAAUUGUUAGAUUCUAAAUUAUUAUUAUUAUAAUCAUCAUCAUCAUCACUAUCAUUAUUAUUGUUAUUAUUAUUAUUAUUAAUUUUAAAAUUAUUAUUGUCAUUAUCAUUAUUAUGAUUAUAUCAUCACUAUCCUUAUUAUUAUUAUUAUUAUUAUUAUUAUCAUCAUCAUUAUUAUUAUUAUUAUUAUUUUUAUCAUUAUUAUUAUUAUAACCUUUAUCUAACCAGGUUUUUCCUGGUUACCUGACAAAGACUGUCAGCAC